UACUGGUACGUCUGGCAACGAGGGUUUAAGAUCCCCAUCCUGUUGUCCCGCUGUUCGUACCUCUUAAAUUGGUGCUAUGUGGCAACUUUGCUAAUUACAAUUAUAAUGACUUAAUUAAAUUUUACAUGGUUAUACUUAUUUCAUAUUACUAUCAGACUAGUUGGUGCAUAUUAUUGGAAGGGAAAGAAUAUUUGUAGACUGGUGGGUGUGAUGAGCGACACGAGGGUGUGUAACCAAGGAGAGGCAGUGUUUGAGGGUCGCUCGUGCACUGCUGCCUUAUUUAACUUGGAUUUUGGCUGAACCAGACAGUAACACCAGGCGGGCUGCAUCUGUGUGCCUAGUGUGACGUUGGUGACUGCCAGGAAGCCUCCAGAGAGUCCCGGCGCCGCUCACAUGGAACAGGAAGGGCUAUAAUCUUGAAGCAACCCACGUCAGCUGAUCGGCGGCGACGAGGAGGAGCAGCACCAGCCAGUGCUGAAGGUCUGAGGAGCAGCCCAUCCAAUAUUAGUCACUCGUGGGAAGAAACGGCUAAUGUCAUACAAAGGACCCCUGGAGCAUGCAGCGCACACCUGACAGCUGCAAAGUUUCUGGCAAAGGGAAACAAGAAGACUGCAAGAAACAAGGCCCACUGAAGAUGCCAGUCCAACAUGUACUCCUCGCCUGCAGUAGUUGAAGUCAUAGGAAGGUGGAAAAACAUACCUACCUCUCGAUUCCGCCAGGUGUGUUUGA